GGCUAACGCUGGCGGCGUGUCUUAGCCAUGCAAGUCGAGCGGACUUAUGGGGUAACUUAUAAGUCAGCGGCGGACGGCGGAGUAACACGUAGCUAACCUACCCUCUGGACGGGGAUAACCUACCGAAAGGUGGGCUAAUACCCGAUGUAGUCAUCCUGUAUAGGGGUGAUGAAAGGUGGGCUUCUGUUUACAAGCUCAUGCUGGAGGAGGGGGCUGCGGCCUAUCAGGUAGUUGGUAGGGUAAUAGCCUACCAAGCCGAUGACGGGUAGCCGGCCUGAGAGGGUGACCGGCCCGAGGGGCACUGAGAUACGGGUCCCACUCCUACGGGAGGCAGCAGGCUAGAAAUUUGGGCAAUGGGGGAAACCCUGGACCCAGUGACGCCGCGUGCAGGAAGGAGCCCUUCGGGGUGUAAACUGCUGUCGUGUAGGGAGAAGGGUACUAAGGUGAACAAUCUUAGUACUUGACGGUACUACAGGAGGAAGCCCAGGCUAACCUCGUGCCAGCAGCCGCGGUAAGAUAGCGUACU
rnacentral:rRNA from 1 species